rnacentral:rRNA from 1 species
GACGAACGCUGGCGGCGUGCUUAACACAUGCAAGUCGAACGGAAAGGCCCUGCUUUUGUGGGGUGCUCGAGUGGCGAACGGGUGAGUAACACGUGAGUAACCUGCCCUUGACUUUGGGAUAACUUCAGGAAACUGGGGCUAAUACCGGAUAGGAGCUCCUGCUGCAUGGUGGGGGUUGGAAAGUUUCGGCGGUUGGGGAUGGACUCGCGGCUUAUCAGCUUGUUGGUGGGGUAGUGGCUUACCAAGGCUUUGACGGGUAGCCGGCCUGGGAGGGUGACCGGACAAAUUGGGACUGAGAUACGGCCCAGACUACUACGGGAGGCAGCAGUGGGGAAUAUUGCACAAUGGGCGGAAGCCUGAUGCAGCAAAGCCGCGUGCGGGAUGACGGCCUUCGGGUUGUAAACCGCUUUCGCCUGUGACGAAGCGUGAGUGACGGUAAUGGGUAAAGAAGCACCGGCUAACUACGUG